AUUGAACGCUGGCGGCAGGCCUAACACAUGCAAGUCGAGCGGUUGACGGGAGCUUGCUCCCUGAUUCAGCGGCGGACGGGUGAGUAAUGCCUAGGAAUCAGCCUAUUAGUGGGGGACGACGUUUCGAAAGGAACGCUAAUACCGCAUACGUCCUACGGGAGAAAGCAGGGGACCUUCGGGCCUUGCGCUAAUAGAUGAGCCUAGGUCGGAUUAGCUUGUUGGUGAGGUAAUGGCUCACCAAGGCGACGAUCCGUAACUGGUCUGAGAGGAUGGUCAGUCACACUGGAACUGAGACACGGUCCAGACUCCUACGGGAGGCAGCAGUGGGGAAUAUUGGACAAUGGGCGAAAGCCUGAUCCAGCCAUGCCGCGUGUGUGAAGAAGGUCUUCGGAUUGUAAAGCACUUUAAGUUGGGAGGAAGGGUUGUAGAUUAAUACUCUGCAAUUUUGACGUUACCGACAGAAUAAGCACCGGCUAACUCUGUGCCAGCCGCCGCGGUAA
rnacentral:rRNA from 1 species